rnacentral:rRNA from 1 species
CCUACGGGGGGCAGCAGUGGGGAAUAUUGCGCAAUGGGCGAAAGCCUGACGCAGCGACGCCGCGUGAGGGAUGAAGGUCUUCGGAUCGUAAACCUCUGUCAGCAGGGAAGAAAGGUCACUGUGCUAAUCAGCAGUGAAUUGACGGUACCUGCAAAGGAAGCACCGGCUAACGCCGUGCCCGCAGCCGCGGUAAUACGGAGGGUGGGAGCGUUAAUCGGAAUUACUGGGCGUAAAGCGCUCGUAGGCGGUAGGUCAAGUCAAGGGUGAAAUCCCCGCGCUCAACGUGGGAACUGCCUUUGAAACUGGCAAACUGGAGUGUGUGAGAGGAUAGUGGAAUUCCAGGUGUAGGAGUGAAAUCCGUAGAUAUCUGGAGGAACAUCAGUGGCGAAGGCGACUAUCUGGCACAUAACUGACGCUGAGGAGCGAAAGCGUGGGUAGCAAACAGGAUUAGAUACCCUUGUAGUC